rnacentral:rRNA from 1 species
CACCGGCGGACGGCUCAGUAACACGUCGGUAACCUACCCUCGGGAGGGGGAUAACCCCGGGAAACUGGGGCUAAUCCCCCAUAGGCCUGGGGUACUGGAAGGUCCCCAGGCCGAAAGGGGCUCUGCCCGCCCGAGGAUGGGCCGGCGGCCGAUUAGGUAGUUGGUGGGGUAACGGCCCACCAAGCCGAAGAUCGGUACGGGCCAUGAGAGUGGGAGCCCGGAGAUGGACACUGAGACACGGGUCCAGGCCCUACGGGGCGCAGCAGGCGCGAAACCUCCGCAAUGCGGGCAACCGCGACGGGGGGACCCCCAGUGCCGUGGCAACGCCACGGCUUUUCCGGAGUGUAAAAAGCUCCGGGAAUAAGGGCUGGGCAAGGCCGGUGGCAGCCGCCGCGGUAAUACCGGCGGCCCAAGUGGUGGCCGCUAUUAUUGGGCCUAAAGCGUCCGUAGCCGGGCCCGUAAGUCCCUGGCGAAAUCCCACGGCUCAACCGUGGGGCUUGCUGGGGAUACUGCGGGCCUUGGGACCGGGAGAGGCGGGGGGUACCCCUGGGGUAGGGGUGAAAUCCUAUAAUCCCAGGGGGA